rnacentral:rRNA from 2 species
UUAAGCGACUAAGCGUACACGGUGGAUGCCCUGGCAGUCAGAGGCGAUGAAGGACGUGCUAAUCUGCGAUAAGCGUCGGUAAGGUGAUAUGAACCGUUAUAACCGGCGAUUUCCGAAUGGGGAAACCCAGUGUGAUUCGUCACACUAUCAUUAACUGAAUCCAUAGGUUAAUGAGGCGAACCGGGGGAACUGAAACAUCUAAGUACCCCGAGGAAAAGAAAUCAACCGAGAUUCCCCCAGUAGCGGCGAGCGAACGGGGAGCAGCCCAGAGCCUGAAUCAGUGUGUGUGUUAGUGGAAGCGUCUGGAAAGGCGCGCGAUACAGGGUGACAGCCCCGUACACAAAAAUGCACAUGCUGUGAGCUCGAUGAGUAGGGCGGGACACGUGGUAUCCUGUCUGAAUAUGGGGGGACCAUCCUCCAAGGCUAAAUACUCCUGACUGACCGAUAGUGAACCAGUACCGUGAGGGAAAGGCGAAAAGAACCCCGGCGAGGGGAGUGAAAAAGAACCUGAAACCGUGUACGUACAAGCAGUGGGAGCACAGAGCAAUCUGUGUGACUGCGUACCUUUUGUAUAAUGGGUCAGCGACUUAUAUUCUGUAGCAAGGUUAACCGAAUAGGGGAGCCGAAGGGAAACCGAGUCUUAACUGGGCGUUAAGUUGCAGGGUAUAGACCCGAAACCCGGUGAUCUAGCCAUGGGCAGGUUGAAGGUUGGGUAACACUAACUGGAGGACCGAACCGACUAAUGUUGAAAAAUUAGCGGAUGACUUGUGGCUGGGGGUGAAAGGCCAAUCAAACCGGGAGAUAGCUGGUUCUCCCCGAAAGCUAUUUAGGUAGCGCCUCGUGAAUUCAUCUCCGGGGGUAGAGCACUGUUUCGGCAAGGGGGUCAUCCCGACUUACCAACCCGAUGCAAACUGCGAAUACCGGAGAAUGUUAUCACGGGAGACACACGGCGGGUGCUAACGUCCGUCGUGAAGAGGGAAACAACCCAGACCGCCAGCUAAGGUCCCAAAGUCAUGGUUAAGUGGGAAACGAUGUGGGAAGGCCCAGACAGCCAGGAUGUUGGCUUAGAAGCAGCCAUCAUUUAAAGAAAGCGUAAUAGCUCACUGGUCGAGUCGGCCUGCGCGGAAGAUGUAACGGGGCUAAACCAUGCACCGAAGCUGCGGCAGCGACGCUUAUGCGUUGUUGGGUAGGGGAGCGUUCUGUAAGCCUGCGAAGGUGUGCUGUGAGGCAUGCUGGAGGUAUCAGAAGUGCGAAUGCUGACAUAAGUAACGAUAAAGCGGGUGAAAAGCCCGCUCGCCGGAAGACCAAGGGUUCCUGUCCAACGUUAAUCGGGGCAGGGUGAGUCGACCCCUAAGGCGAGGCCGAAAGGCGUAGUCGAUGGGAAACAGGUUAAUAUUCCUGUACUUGGUGUUACUGCGAAGGGGGGACGGAGAAGGCUAUGUUGGCCGGGCGACGGUUGUCCCGGUUUAAGCGUGUAGGCUGGUUUUCCAGGCAAAUCCGGAAAAUCAAGGCUGAGGCGUGAUGACGAGGCACUACGGUGCUGAAGCAACAAAUGCCCUGCUUCCAGGAAAAGCCUCUAAGCAUCAGGUAACAUCAAAUCGUACCCCAAACCGACACAGGUGGUCAGGUAGAGAAUACCAAGGCGCUUGAGAGAACUCGGGUGAAGGAACUAGGCAAAAUGGUGCCGUAACUUCGGGAGAAGGCACGCUGAUAUGUAGGUGAAGUCCCUCGCGGAUGGAGCUGAAAUCAGUCGAAGAUACCAGCUGGCUGCAACUGUUUAUUAAAAACACAGCACUGUGCAAACACGAAAGUGGACGUAUACGGUGUGACGCCUGCCCGGUGCCGGAAGGUUAAUUGAUGGGGUUAGCGCAAGCGAAGCUCUUGAUCGAAGCCCCGGUAAACGGCGGCCGUAACUAUAACGGUCCUAAGGUAGCGAAAUUCCUUGUCGGGUAAGUUCCGACCUGCACGAAUGGCGUAAUGAUGGCCAGGCUGUCUCCACCCGAGACUCAGUGAAAUUGAACUCGCUGUGAAGAUGCAGUGUACCCGCGGCAAGACGGAAAGACCCCGUGAACCUUU